UGUCCCAUGGGGUGGUGGUUAUUCCCCGAGAUUCUGAAGCGCAAAGUUUUUUCGUGAACCCGGUUCGAAUCCGGGUGGGACCU